ACGUACACUCCUGCGGGAGGCAGCAGUGGGGAAUAUUGCACAAUGGGCGGAAGCCUGAUGCAGCAACGCCGCGUGCGGGAUGACGGCCUUCGGGUUGUAAACCGCUUUCGCCUGUGACGAAGCGUGAGUGACGGUAAUGGGUAAAGAAGCACCGGCUAACUACGUGCCAGCAGCCGCGGUGAUACGUAGGGUGCGAGCGUUGUCCGGAUUUAUUGGGCGUAAAGGGCUCGUAGGUGGUUGAUCGCGUCGGAAGUGUAAUCUUGGGGCUUAACCCUGAGCGUGCUUUCGAUACGGGUUGACUUGAGGAAGGUAGGGGAGAAUGGAAUUCCUGGUGGAGCGGUGGAAUGCGCAGAUAUCAGGAGGAACACCAGUGGCGAAGGCGGUUCUCUGGGCCUUUCCUGACGCUGAGGAGCGAAAGCGUGGGGAGCGAACAGGCUUAGAUACCCGUGUAGUCCCA
rnacentral:rRNA from 1 species